AGUGCUCCUGCUGACCUUCCGUGUCUGCAGCCCGGCUUUGGACUGUGGAGAUGCCCUCAGCCUCUACUCAGUGGCUCCAGCCUCAUAUUUGCGUGCUAUACCUUUAACCUCAAGUCCUCUUGCUGCUAACUUAAGCUGCGACUGUCCAGGACCUGCACACACACACACAUGCACGCAUGCACACACACACACACAGAAGGUGAACACACAGGAUGAGGCCCUGAAAACUCAUUUCACCCGUGUACCUCACCCAAAAAUUCCCCUUUGUACUCCUAUCUUUAUCUCUAACUGACAGCAUGAAGGUAGCCCGAAGUCCCCUCACCCUGUCUGUCCUCCUGAUUCUCUAGCCCAGUUCCCUCUAGCUCCAGCACAGACUCUUAUCUCCAGCCCUGACUGCCGAAACCCUCCAGCCCCAGCUCCAGCCCCUCAGGAGGGGACUGCGUGGGAGGAAUGACUCCAGCAAGCCGGCAGCUGACCCGUCUCCUGCCUGCACGCCUCCCGCUGUGGUCCACUGCCGGUGGUCUUCAGCUCUCUCCUCGUCCCACCCCCAUGGUCUGCUGACAGCCCAGCUCAGUGCAUCCCUGCCAUCUCUGCUCUACCGCUGGUCCUCCCAACAACCAACUUACAGGUAAGGAAACUGAGGCCCAGAGAGAGGGUGUAUGUGCCUGUGUCACACAGCAACACAGGACUGCACCAUAACAAGAAAGCCGGGACUUCCACUCCCAGACGGGGCUCCUUCCCCAAACAAUCCCUCAGUCACCUCCUCCCUGUAUGGUACCCAGGGAAUGGCCCUUCCAGAUCUGGGCGCUGAGGAGGCUGCCCCAUCCCCACCCUGCCUGGAGCCCCACUCACUCUGCUGAAAUGUCUCUGAUUCUCAGCCUCCGCCUUGGGGGCUUCUCAGUUACAGCGCAUCUUGAUCUUGUUCCUCCGUGACUGUCCCUGGCUCAGCUUCCACCCCCAGCUGGGGCUCAGCUAUCCCUGUGUCCCCAGUCCAGAGCCUGCCUCUCAGCUCUCCCAGGGCGGCCUCGAGCGCUGCUCCUGCUCCUCCAGGGGAGAGGUCAGUAAGGCAGGGGUUUGGCUGGUGCCACUUGAACCAAGUCCAGAUGCACUGCCCAAAAUAACAUCCCUCGUCCGGCCAGCAGUGCCGUGGAGACCGAGUUCUGAAGCAGGCCUUUGUGAGGUCAGAGGUGGAGCUCUGGGUGGGCACUCUGGGCCUCUCAGUCCCAGAGGAAAGGCCUGUCCUCCAAGCCAAUGUGCAGCCUGACUCUGGGGCCAGCGCCUGAGGAAGCCCUCCCUGAGCCCCAGCCCUGGGGAAGGCUGAAGAGGCCUCUGAGCCCCCAGCGCUGGGGAGAGCUGUGCAGAAUAGGACUGGAGGUGGAAGUGUUGGAGAUUAACAGCCAGGUGGAGGGGACGGGGGAGGCCCUGGGUCAGUCCUCAGGGAACCCCCAUUGUGAAGGGGGAAAGGGAAACUCAGGCCCAGUCCUCAGGGGCCCCCAGUCUGAGAGGAAGGAGGACACACGAGCCAUAUUUGCAGAGAAACACCAGCCUGCGAGAGGAGGUAGAAGCCCAGGCCUGGCCCUCCGAGGGCCCCUAGUCUGAGGAGCAGUCCACCUGUCCUCGGGAAAACACCUCCCUUAGGAAAGGCCAGCAAGGCCCCCGUAAAGGACCCAGAGCUGGAUCGGGACAUCGGGCUCGGGGCUCAGCGGUGUGGGAGCUCCGGGACCGAGGUGCAGUCAGGAGAGACCCUGGGGGCCAGCAGCAGUCCCAGAGGACUUUUGGAGCCAAGGCCUGACUGGGUCUCAAACAAUGGGGCAGGCAGUUUGGGGUUUCAGCAGGUGGCCCAGUGCUGAGACACAAGGGAGGUGUUUCUGGUCUGCAGACACUGAGGACGCUUGCUAUGUGGCGUGGUGGACGGUGGGUAAGUCCUGGGAACUUCCGGCACCAGGCUCCAUGGGUGGGAAGGGGCAUAAGAUUCAGUUGUCCAAAGCUCAGGUCUGGGAAUGGAACUGUCCUGUAGAGGGUGCCAAAGACCAGGUCUGGAACCUGCAUAGCCCCAGUCCCCACCCCUGCACACACCCUCCCACCCCUUCCAGCUUUUUCUGCAGAUCUUUCUGCAGGGGUGAGGCAGGGAGAGGAAGGGGUCGGCCACAGUCCCGGGGCUUCCUAGUCAGAAGCCCUCUGUAAGGCACUAACUUCCCUCUGCAGAUUCUUUUUUUUUUGAGACGGAGUCCCGCUCCGCCCAGGCUGGAGUGCAGUGGCACAGUCUUGUCUCACCACAAUCUCUGCCUCCCAGUUCAAGUGAUUCUCCUGCCUCAGCCUCCCAAGUAGCUGGGAUUACAGGCAUGCACCACCAAGCCCAGCUAGUUUUUUUGGAUUUUUAGUAAAGACGGGGUGUCACCAUGUUGGUCAGGCUGGUCUCGAACUCCUGACCUCAGGUAAUGCACCCGCCUCGGCCUCCCAAAGUGCUGGGAUUAUAGGUGUGAGCCACUGCGCCCGGCCUCCCUCUGCAGAUUCUACGUGGGCUCAAGAUUCAGCCUUUCUUCCUCAGGAAGGGAGGGGUGCACGCUUGGAAAUGGGAGAGUCCUGCCUUUUUUCCUUUCCCAUGUGUGCUCCCAGGGCCGGGAUGAGGUCAUGUUAGAAGUGGAUCUGGGGUCUUGGAUGAGGUCAGCACUUGGGCAGAGUUGGAAUGGGCUGGUGUCAGGUUGGUGAGGGAGGGAAUUGGGAUCCAUGCUGGGGUCAGAGAUCAGGCUCUAAGCUCUUUUACAGGGCUUGACCCUGGGGACUGAGAGGUGGAGAAGACACAGUCCCAUCUGUCUCACGGCAGAGACAGGUAAGCAGCAGGUGACUUAGGACACACCAGAUAGGCUGGAAGGAAUACAGACGGGGCUAUCCCAAGCUGGAGGGGUACAAGGGUCUUCCGUUAGAGGUGACGUGGGAACUGAGUUUUCCAAAACGAGCAGGGGGAUGGGGCACCGGGGCAUUUGAAGCUUGAUGGGAUUGUGAGAAAACCUGGGAACUGCGAGUGACUUGCAGAGGGCUGCGGAAGUGGGCAGGGAUAGACCAUGAAGGGCUUUGUC
rnacentral:lncRNA from 10 species